UGUAGCUCAAUGGAUAGAGCAGCAGCUUCCGAAGCUGAAGGUUGUGGGUUCGAGUCCCGUCG
rnacentral:tRNA from 1 species